CAGUAGGCACAAUCCAAAUUCAUGAAGGGUGUUUGAGUUGGUGAAAUGUUACUUGAUAUUAUCUGGCAGGUUCCCUUGGCUUAACCUCACUUAGCUCAGCUGUAAAAUGGGGCUAUCCUGGUAGCUCCCCUGCGUUCUGUUGAUAAAGGAGAUAACUAGGGCAAGUAUUUAGCACAGCAUGCAAUACACAAUUUUAGUAAUUACCUCUCGAUAAGCUGAACAGGCAACUUCUGGGUCUAACCAUUUUAGGUUAUUUGAAAGCUGUUGAAGUAAUCUAGGUUUUUCUUCUUUUGUUGUGUUUUAGGGUAAAAACUUAAGUGAUGAAGCUGUACACAUUUAAGUACAUCACUUGCAGGACUCUUCAGUGUUCAGCUUAUGCCAUUUAGGAAACAAAAUGGCACAUCAUCAUGCAAGCUCAGAUUCUCUCGGAGCUUUGUGAACUCGGCUUUGACAGUCAGAAUGAAUGAGAAACUGCAAAACCAGAUGCUCAGAAGACUGGACAUGUAUGACAUGUAUGGCCUGUUAUCUAAGAAAACCUAAGUCCAGGUACUAUAGAAAGUGUUGCUUUGUGACUAUUUGUGAAAGAAAGGUACCCUACUGCCCCUGAGGAACAGGAGAAAAUGAACAGGCCUCUCGGUUUCUGCCAUACCUCACCGAGGAGAAAAGCACCUUUGCACUUGUAUACCCCCAUGUUAAGAUUUUAGCCAGAACAGCGUUUAGAUGUAGAAGUAGGCUAU